CCUACGGGUGGCUGCAGUGGGGGAUAUUGGACAAUGGGGGGAACCCUGAUCCAGCGACGCCGCGUGAGUGAAGAAGUAUUUCGGUAUGUAAAGCUCUGUCAGCAGGGAAGAAAGCAAUGACGGUACCUGACCAAGAAGCCCCGGCUAACUACGUGCCAGCAGCCGCGGUAAUACGUAGGGGGCAAGCGUUAUCCGGAAUUACUGGGUGUAAAGGGAGCGUAGACGGCUGUGCAAGUCUGGAGUGAAAGGCGGGGGCCCAACCCCCGGACUGCUCUGGAAACUGUAUGGCUGGAGUGCAGGAGAGGUAAGCGGAAUUCCUAGUGUAGCGGUGAAAUGCGUAGAUAUUAGGAGGAACACCAGUGGCGAAGGCGGCUUACUGGACUGUAACUGACGUUGAGGCUCGAAAGCGUGGGGAGCAAACAGGAUUAGAUACCCUAGUAGUCC
rnacentral:rRNA from 1 species